rnacentral:rRNA from 1 species
GACGAACGCUGGCGGCGUGCUUAACACAUGCAAGUCGAACGGAAAGGCCCUGCUUUUGUGGGGUGCUCGAGUGGCGAACGGGUGAGUAACACGUGAGUAACCUGCCCUUGACUUUGGGAUAACUUCAGGAAACUGGGGCUAAUACCGGAUAGGAGCUCCUGCUGCAUGGUGGGGGUUGGAAAGUUUCGGCGGUUGGGGAUGGACUCGCGGCUUAUCAGCUUGUUGGUGGGGUAGUGGCUUACCAAGGCUUUGACGGGUAGCCGGCCUGAGAGGGUGACCGGGCAGAGUGGGGGAGGGCGAGGGACCAUGAGCGGGAGGGGGGCGGGAGUGGGGAGGAUGGCACGGCGGGAGGAGGCGGGGGGGGGCGACGGGGGGGGCGGGAUGCGGGCCUUGGAGGGGGAGCCCGGUUGUGGGGGUGACGGAGGGGGGGGGACGGGAAGGGGAAAAGAAGCACCGGGGAACGAGGUGCGAGAAGCCGGAUUAAUAAUCGGAAAAGCACACGUCGGACC